UACGGAGGAUCCGAGCGUUAUCCGGAAUCAUUGGGUUUAAAGGGUCCGUAGGCGGGCGGCUAAGUCAGCGGUGAAAGUCUGCAGCUCAACUGUAGAACUGCCGUUGAUACUGGUUGUCUUGAAUCAAUGUGAAGUGGCUGGAAUAUGUGGUGUAGCGGUGAAAUGCAUAGAUAUCACAUAGAACACCUAUUGCGAAGGCAGGUCACUAACAUUGCAUUGACGCUGAUGGACGAAAGCGUGGGGAGCAAACAGG
rnacentral:rRNA from 2 species